rnacentral:rRNA from 1 species
GAUGAACGCUGGCGGCGUGCCUAAUACAUGCAAGUCGAGCGAACAGACGAGGAGCUUGCUCCUCUGACGUUAGCGGCGGACGGGUGAGUAACACGUGGAUAACCUACCUAUAAGACUGGGAUAACUUCGGGAAACCGGAGCUAAUACCGGAUAUUAUAUUGAACCGCAUGGUUCAAUAGUGAAAGACGGUUUUGCUGUCACUUAUAGAUGGAUCCGCGCCGCAUUAGCUAGUUGGUAAGGUAACGGCUUACCAAGGCAACGAUGCGUAGCCGACCUGAGAGGGUGAUCGGCCACACUGGAACUGAGACACGGUCCAGACUCCUACGGGAGGCAGCAGUAGGGAAUCUUCCGCAAUGGGCGAAAGCCUGACGGAGCAACGCCGCGUGAGUGAUGAAGGUCUUCGGAUCGUAAAACUCUGUUAUUAGGGGAGAACAAAUGUGUAAGUAACUAUGCACGUCUUGACGGUACCUAAUCAGAGAGCCACGGCUAACUACGUG